AGGAGAGUUUGAUCCUGGCUCAGGACGAACGCUGGCGGCGUGCCUAACACAUGCAAGUCGAGCGGAGAUAUGAGGAACGGAGGCUUCGGCGGAAGGGAAUCAUAUUUUAGCGGCGGACGGGUGAGUAACGCGUGAGCAAUCUGUCCCUGACAGGGGGAUAACACUUGGAAACAGGUGCUAAUACCGCAUAAGACCACGAGGCGGCAUCGCCUUGGGGUAAAAGGAGCGAUCCGGUGAGGGGUGAGCUCGCGUCCGAUUAGCCAGUUGGUGAGGUAACGGCCCACCAAAGCGACGAUCGGUAGCCGACCUGAGAGGGUGAUCGGCCACAUUGGAACUGAGAGACGGUCCAAACUCCUACGGGAGGCAGCAGUGGGGAAUAUUGGGCAAUGGGCGAAAGCCUGACCCAGCAACGCCGCGUGAGGGAAGAAGGUUUUCGGAUUGUAAACCUCUGUCCUUGGUGACGAAGGAAGUGACGGUAGCCAAGGAGGAAGCCCCGGCUAACUACGUGCCAGCAGCCGCGGUAAUACGUAGGGGGCGAGCGUUGUCCGGAAUGACUGGGCGUAAAGGGCGCGUAGGCGGUCUAUUAAGUUAGGAGUGAAAGUCCAUAUUUCAAGUAUGGAAUUGCUUUUAAUACUGACGGACUGGAGUGCAGAAGAGGUAAGCGGAAUUCCCAGUGUAGCGGUGAAAUGCGUAGAGAUUGGGAAGAACACCAGUGGCGAAGGCGGCUUACUGGGCUGUAACUGACGCUGAGGCGCGAAAGCGUGGGGAGCGAACAGGAUUAGAUACCCUGGUAGUCCCCU
rnacentral:rRNA from 1 species